CAGUCGCCGCGGUAAUACAGAGGGUGCAAGCGUUAAUCGGAAUUACUGGGCGUAAAGCGCGCGUAGGUGGUUUGUUAAGUUGGAUGUGAAAUCCCCGGGCUCAACCUGGGAACUGCAUCCAAAACUGGCAAGCUAGAGUAUGGUAGAGGGUGGUGGAAUUUCCUGUGUAGCGGUGAAAUGCGUAGAUAUAGGAAGGAACACCAGUGGCGAAGGCGACCACCUGGACUGAUACUGACACUGAGGUGCGAAAGCGUGGGGAGCAAACAGGAUUAGAUACCCGUGUAGUCCCUGUCUCUUAUAA
rnacentral:rRNA from 1 species